AUUGAACGCUGGCGGCAGGCCUAACACAUGCAAGUCGAGCGGAUGAAGGGUGCUUGCUCCUGGAUUCAGCGGCGGACGGGUGAGUAAUGCCUAGGAAUCUGCCUGGUAGUGGGGGAUAACGUCCGGAAACGGGCGCUAAUACCGCAUACGUCCUGAGGGAGAAAGUGGGGGAUCUUCGGACCUCACGCUCUCAGAUGAGCCCAGGUCGGAUUAGCUAGUUGGUGGGGUAAAGGCCUACCAAGGCGACGAUCCGUAACUGGUCUGAGAGGAUGAUCAGUCACACUGGAACUGAGACACGGUCCAGACUCCUACGGGAGGCAGCAGUGGGGAAUAUUGGACAAAGGGCGAAAGCCUGAUCCAGCCAUGCCGCGUGUGUGAAGAAGGUCUUCGGAUUGUAAAGCACUUUAAGUUGGGAGGAAGGGCAGUAAGUUAAUACCUUGCUGUUUUGACGUUACCAACAGAAUAAGCACCGGCUAACUUCGUG
rnacentral:rRNA from 1 species